rnacentral:rRNA from 1 species
AUUGAACGCUGGCGGAAUGCUUUACACAUGCAAGUCGAACGGCAGCACGGACUUCGGUCUGGUGGCGAGUGGCGAACGGGUGAGUAAUACAUCGGAACGUGCCCAGUCGUGGGGGAUAACGUAGCGAAAGCUACGCUAAUACCGCAUACGAUCUAAGGAUGAAAGCGGGGGAUCGCAAGACCUCGCGCGAUUGGAGCGGCCGAUGGCAGAUUAGGUAGUUGGUGGGGUAAAGGCCUACCAAGCCGACGAUCUGUAGCUGGUCUGAGAGGACGACCAGCCACACUGGAACUGAGACACGGUCCAGACUCCUACGGGAGGCAGCAGUGGGGAAUUUUGGACAAUGGGCGCAAGCCUGAUCCAGCCAUUCCGCGUGCAGGAUGAAGGCCCUCGGGUUGUAAACUGCUUUUGUACGGAACGAAAAGGUCCUGGUUAAUACCUGGGGCUCAUGACGGUACCGUAAGAAUAAGCACCAGCUAACUACGUGCCAGCCGCCGCUGUAAAAC